CUCCGGUUGAUCCCGCCGGACCCGACUGCUAUCAGAGUGGGACUAAGCCAUGCGAGUCAACAUAGCAAUAUGUGGCAUACGGCUCAGUAACACGUAGUCAACAUGCCCAGGGGACGUGGAUAACCUCGGGAAACUGAGGAUAAACCGCGAUAGGUCAUCACUUCUGGAAUGGGUAAUAACUUAAAUCUAUAUGGCCCCUGGAUUGGACUGCGGCCGAUCAGGCUGUUGGUGAGGUAAUGGCCCACCAAACCUGUAACCGGUACGGGCUCUGAGAGGAGGAGCCCGGAGAUGGGCACUGAGACAAGGGCCCAGGCCCUAUGGGGCGCAGCAGGCGCGAAACCUCUGCAAUAGGCGAAAGCUUGACAGGGUUACUCUGAGUGAUUUCCGUUAAGGAGAUCUUUUGGCACCUCUAAAAAUGGUGCAGAAUAAGGGGUGGGCAAGUCUGGUGUCAGCCGCCGCGGUAAUACCAGCACCCCGAGUGGUCGGGACGUUUAUUGGGCCUAAAGCAUCCGUAGCCGGUUCUACAAGUCUUCCGUUAAAUCCACCUGCUUAACAGAUGGGCUGCGGAAGAUACUAUAGAGCUAGGAGGCGGGAGAGGCAAGCGGUACUCUACGUGUAGGGGUAAAAUCCUUUGAUCCGUAGAAGACCACCAGUGGCGAAGGCGGCCUGCCAGAACGCGCUCGACGGUGAGGGAUGAAAGCUGGGGGAGCGAACCGGAUUAGAUACCCGGGUAGUCCCAGCCGUAAACGAUGCGAGCUAGAUGAUUCGGUCGCAAAUCGCGAUCGAAGUGUCGCAGGGAAGCCGUUAAGUUUGCCGCCUGGGGAGUACGGUCGCAAGACUGAAACUUAAAGGAAUUGGCGGGGGGAGCA
rnacentral:rRNA from 1 species